rnacentral:rRNA from 1 species
UGCAGAGGGGGCAAGCGUUGUUCGGAAUUACUGGGCGUAAAGGGCGCGUAGGCGGCCUGUUAAGUCGAACGUGAAAUCCCCGGGCUCAACCCGGGAACUGCGUCCGAUACUGGAUGGCUUGAGUUUGGGAGAGGGAUGCGGAAUUCCAGGUGUAGCGGUGAAAUGCGUAGAUAUCUGGAGGAACACCGGUGGCGAAGGCGGCAUCCUGGACCAAUACUGACACUGAGGAGCGAAAGCCAGGGGAGCAAACGGG